CGUCCAUGGCGACCGUGGCGCCCCAGAUCUUGAAGCCGCCUGCCAUGGGGAAUGGGAUCGCCGGAGCGCCGCCAGCCCCCGUCGUGACGUCCGGCCGCACGCCACGCUCCGGCCCGGGGGCGCCAGCCCGCGCCAGCUCCUCACGAGCGGGAGGACACCUAGUCCCCGCCGCCGCCGGCGACGGCAAGGCUUUGCCUGGCCGCGCCCUCGGGCGGCGGCGAGGGAGGAGGAGGACGAGAG
rnacentral:rRNA from 1 species